rnacentral:rRNA from 1 species
AGAGUUUGAUCCUGGCUCAGGAUGAACGCUAGCGGGAGGCUUAACACAUGCAAGUCGAGGGGUAAGGCUCUUUCGGGAGUGCACGACCGGCGCACGGGUGAGUAACGCGUAUGCAACCUACCUUCAACAGGGGGAUAGCCCAGAGAAAUUUGGAUUAAUAUCCCAUAAUAUCAGAAAUUCGCAUGUUUUUCUGAUUAAAGCUCCGGCGGUUGAAGAUGGGCAUGCGUGCCAUUAGCUUGUUGGUAAGGUAACGGCUUACCAAGGCAACGAUGGCUAGGGGGUCUUAAAGGAUGGUCCCCCACACUGGUACUGAGACACGGACCAGACUCCUACGGGAGGCAGCAGUGAGGAAUAUUGGGCAAUGGACGCAAGUCUGACCCAGCCAUCCCGCGUGCAGGAUGACAGCCCUAUGGGUUGUAAACUGCUUUUGUACAAGAAGAAAAAUCCCUACGUGUAGGGAACUGACGGUAUUGUACGAAUAAGCAUCGGCUAACUCCGUGCCAGCAGCAGCGGUAAUACGGAGGAUGCAAGCGUUAUCCGGAUUUAUUAGGUUUAAAGGGUGCGUAGGCGGAACUUUAAGUCAGUGGUGAAAUCUUGCGGCUCAACCGUAAAAUUGCCAUUGAAACUGAAGUUCUUGAGUACAGUUGAGGUAGGCGGAAUGUGUCAUGUAGCGGUGAAAUGCAUAGAGAUGACACAGAACACCGAUUGCGAAGGCAGCUUACUAAGCUGUAACUGACGCUGAUGCACGAAAGCGUGGGGAGCGAACAGGAUUAGAUACCCUGGUAGUCCACGCUGUAAACGAUGAUCACUCGUUGUUGGCAAUACAUCGUCAGCGACUGAGCGAAAGCAUUAAGUGAUCCACCUGGGGAGUACGUCGGCAACGAUGAAACUCAAAGGAAUUGACGGGGGCCCGCACAAGCGGAGGAACAUGUGGUUUAAUUCGAUGAUACGCGAGGAACCUUACCUGGGCUUAAAUGUAGACUGCUUUCUCGGGAAACCGAGAUUUUCUUCGGAACAGUCUACAAGGUGCUGCAUGGUUGUCGUCAGCUCGUGCCGUGAGGUGUCGGGUUAAGUCCCAUAACGAGCGCAACCCCUAUUGUUAGUUGCUAGCAGGUAAUGCUGAGGACUCUAACGAGACUGCCGGUGUAAACCGUGAGGAAGGUGGGGAUGACGUCAAAUCAGCACGGCCCUUAUGUCCAGGGCUACACACGUGUUACAAUGGUCGGUACAAAGGGCAGCUACCUGGUGAUGUGGAGCCAAUCCCAGAAAACCGAUCGUAGUCCGGAUUGCAGUCUGCAACUCGACCGCAUGAAGUCGGAAUCGCUAGUAAUCGCGAAUCAGAAUGUCGCGGUGAAUACGUUCCCGGGCCUUGUACACACCGCCCGUCACACCAUGGGAGUUGGUUGCACCAGAAGUAGAUAGCUUAACCUUCGGGAGGGCGUUUACCA